ACCUGGAUCAACGCGGCCACGUGGCCGGCUUGCGCCCAAACCGCGUGUCCACCAGGCGGGUUGUCGCCCUGCGCGCUUUCCGCACGCACACGCUGACGGCACUGUUGGCUCGCAGACCACGGGCGUCCUGGGGGCCCCCCUGGUCCCAGCGUCCUCCCAGGCGGCGGGUCCGAGACUAGCUCUGCAGCCCCGGGACGCUUCCAACGGCUGGAAUUCUUUGGGCAACGUCGUGGGAGCAGCCCUCUCGGGCCCGAAUCUAAUGAUGUCACCUCACGAGGCGCGAUAAGCUGUCCAUCCAGGUCUCACCUACAGGUCUGCACCCCACCCACCCAGGACCAGGGCGUCUGGACUUGUCUCUGGCCUUUACUGCUCCCGCAGGGCCUGUACUCUUGCCAAAGCCCUCCCUUAUCGGUGUUGAGAUCGCCUCCCCAUACUUGCGGAGGACAGACCUGCAAGCCAUCUCUCAGCCAGAUCCCAGGGGGCCGCUGUGGGGGCAGAAUGGCAGAGGGGCAGCUUGAAGUCUGGCGUGCUUCAGUGGAGUAAUGUGUCACUUCAGCAGAAUGCUUAGGAGGCACUGUCUCAGUGCUGGGCCACAUUAGCCCUGGAUCUGUCCCAACACACUUUAAAAAAGCAAGACCCCAAAGGAUCUACCGAUUCCAAGUAACUGUAUGCCAAAAUGAAAACACUUUUCCAUAAAUAAAAAAA